rnacentral:rRNA from 1 species
CAGUAGCCACGGUAAUACGAAGGGUGCAAGCGUUAAUCGGAAUUACUGGGCGUAAAGCGUGCGUAGGCGGUUCGUUAAGUCUGUUGUGAAAGCCCCGGGCUCAACCUGGGAAUGGCAAUGGAUACUGGCGAGCUAGAGUGUGUCAGAGGAUGGUGGAAUUCCCGGUGUAGCGGUGAAAUGCGUAGAGAUCGGGAGGAACAUCAGUGGCGAAGGCGGCCAUCUGGGACAACACUGACGCUGAGGCACGAAAGCGUGGGGAGCAAACAGGAUUAGAGACCCCCGUAGUCCCUGUCUCUUAUAC